AGUGAACGCUGGCGGUAGGCCUAACACAUGCAAGUCGAACGGCAGCACAGUAAGAGCUUGCUCUUACGGGUGGCGAGUGGCGGACGGGUGAGGAAUACAUCGGAAUCUACUUUUUCGUGGGGGAUAACGUAGGGAAACUUACGCUAAUACCGCAUACGACCUACGGGGGAAAGCAGGGGAUCUUCGGACCUUGCGCGAUUGAAUGAGCCGAUGUCGGAUUAGCUAGUUGGCGGGGUAAAGGCCCACCAAGGCGACGAUCCGUAGCUGGUCUGAGAGGAUGAUCAUCCACACUGGAACUGAGACACGGUCCAGACUCCUACGGGAGGCAGCAGUGGGGAAUAUUGGACAAUGGGCGCAAGCCUGAUCCAGCCAUACCGCGUGGGUGAAGAAGGCCUUCGGGUUGUAAAGCCCUUUUGUUGGGAAAGAAAAGCAGCAGGUUAAUACCCCGCUGUUCUGACGGUACCCAAAGAAUAAGCACCGGCUAACUUCGUG
rnacentral:rRNA from 1 species